rnacentral:lncRNA from 10 species
CUUCACACUGACGUGCAUGAAAUUUGUUGCCAUGACUUGGAUCGGGGGACCUCCCUUUGGAGAUCAAUCCCCCAUCCUCCUGCUCUUUGCUCCGUGAGAAAGAUCCACCUAUGACCUCAGGUCCUCAGACUGACCAGCCCAAGAAACAUCUCACCAAUUUCAAAUCCGUACAAGAAGGCAGGAAUGUCAGGCCUCUGAGCCCAAGCCAAGCCAUCGCAUCCCCUGUGACUUGCACGUAUACGCCCAGAUGGCCUGAAGUAACUGAAGAAUCACAAAAGAAGUGAAAAGGCCCUGCCCGGCCUUAACUGAUGACAUUCCACCAUUGUGAUUUGUUCCUGCCCCACCUUAACUGAGUGAUUAACCCUGUGAAUUUCCUUCCCCUGGCUCAGAAGCUCUCCCACUGAGCACCUUGUGACCCCCGCCCCUGCCCACCAGAGAACAACCCCCUUUGACUGUAAUUUUCCUUUACCUUCCCAAAUCCUAUAAAAGGGCCCCACCCGUAUCUCCCUUCGCUGACUCUCUUUUCGGACUCAGCUCACCUGCACCCAGGUGAAAUAAACAGCUUUAUUGCUCACACAAAUCCUGUUUGGUGGUC